CCCAUCUCGUUGGCUUGGGUUCAGCUGGUGGUAUGGAGGGGUGCUGCCUAGCACUGACCUGGGAGUGUGAGUGAUCUACUGACCCAAUGGACAUCAAAGGCCAGUUCUGGAAUGAUGAUGAUUCAGAAGGAGAUAAUGAAUCAGAGGAAUUUCUCUAUGGAGUUCAGGGAAGCUGUGCAGCUGACUUGUAUCGACACCCACAGCUUGAUGCAGACAUAGAAGCUGUAAAGGAGAUCUACAGUGAGAACUCUGUAUCUAUCAGAGAAUAUGGAACAAUUGAUGACGUGGACAUUGACCUCCACAUCAACAUCAGCUUCCUCGAUGAGGAAGUCUCUACAGCCUGGAAGGUCCUCCGGACAGAACCUAUUGUGCUAAGGCUGAGAUUUUCUCUCUCCCAGUACCUUGAUGGACCAGAACCAUCAAUUGAGGUUUUCCAGCCAUCGAAUAAAGAAGGGUUUGGGCUAGGUCUUCAGUUGAAAAAGAUCCUGGGUAUGUUCACAUCCCAACAAUGGAAACAUCUCAGCAACGAUUUCUUGAAGACUCAGCAGGAGAAGAGGCACAGUUGGUUCAAGGCAAGUUGGUACUAUCAAGAAGUUCCGAGCCGGCCUCAGCAUCUUCUCACCCAUCCCCAAGUCUCCCAGUUUUCCUAUCAUACAGGACUCUAUGCUGAAAGGCAAACUGGGUGUACCAGAGCUUCGGGUUGGGCGCCUCAUGAACCGUUCAAUCUCCUGCACCAUGAAGAACCCCAAAGUGGAGGUGUUUGGCUAUCCUCCCAGCCCCCAGGCAGGUCUCCUGUGCCCUCAGCAUGUGGGCCUCCCUCCCCCAGCACGGACCUCUCCUUUGGUCAGUGGUCACUGCAAGAACAUUCCCACUCUGGAGCACCAGUUCCUCCUGCUGAGCAGUCCUCCUGCCAAGGAGGCUCGGUUCCGGACCGCCAAGAAGCUCUAUGGCAGCACCUUUGCCUUCCAUGGGUCCCACAUUGAGAACUGGCAUUCAAUCCUGCGUAAUGGGCUGGUCAAUGCAUCCUACACCAAACUACAGCUGCAUGGAGCAGCCUAUGGCAAAGGCAUCUACCUGAGCCCCAUCUCCAGUAUUUCCUUUGGAUACUCAGGAAUGGGAAAAGGACAGCACAGGAUGCCCUCCAAGGAUGAGCUCGUCCAGAGAUACAACAGGAUGAAUACCAUCCCCCAGACCCGAUCCAUUCAGUCAAGAUUCCUGCAGAGUUGGAAUCUAAACUGUAUAGCACUUUGUGAAGUGAUUACAUCUAAGGACCCCCAGAAGCAUGGAAACAUCUGGGUCUGCCCUGUGUCUGACCAUGUCUGCACACGGUUCUUCUUUGUAUAUGAAGAUGGUCAGGUGGGCGAUGCCAACAUUAAUACUCAGGACCCUAAGAUACAGAAGGAAAUCAUGCGUGUGAUCGGAACUCAGGUUUCCAUCACAGUGGCUAGCAUGGUUUUCUGCCCAGCCACAAGAAGAGAAACUAGAUCAACCCGUUGCCCAAGUGGGAGUGCCCUCUGUGGCUUCCCCACAGGGUUCACCAGCCCUGGGGCGGGGGCAUUUAAUGACAGCAGUUACUGCUUUGUGUAUUGUCCUCUUCACAUGCUGAACAGUGCUUGCGGUCAAGAUGAUGCUUCCUCACUGAGCAGACAGCCUCUCUCAGAGUUGUGCACUCUCAGCUCCAACUUGGAGACACUCAGAUUAAGUCCAAUUACCUCCAGCAGGGAGCAUGAAACCAAAGGAGAAGGACACAUUCUUGCUUGA